UACGUAGGAGGCAAGCGUUAUCCGGAAUGACUGGGCGUAAAGGGCGCGUAGACGGCCGAGUAAGUUAUAGGUGAAAGCCCAUCUUUCAAGGAUGGAAUUGCCUGUAAUACUGCCUGGCUUGAGUGCAGGAGAGGCAAUCGGAAUUCCGUGUGUAGCGGUGAAAUGCGUAGAUAUACGGAGGAACACCAGUGGCGAAGGCGGCUUGCUGGACUGUAACUGACGUUGAGGCUCGAAAGCGUGGGGAGCAA
rnacentral:rRNA from 1 species